rnacentral:rRNA from 1 species
CAGUCGUACCUUCGGGUAAUCAGCCUUUCGUGUGCGAUUCUGUGGAGUUUGAGGAGCUUAACACCUUCAUGCUUUGCAUAUUCGUGCUCUUGGGUGUACUUGCCCGUGUGGUUGGUUAACAUCAAUUUCGGGCACCAUAAAAUGACUGGAGGAAUGUAGCUUUGAUCUUGUAUUGAAGUGUUAUAGCCUUCGGUAGAUGUGGUGAUCGAGAUUGAGGAUUGCAACGGAUACCUUUCGGGGCUACCUGUCUGAUCUCUGAUCGUUGCUUUGGUGCUGAAAGCGUGCUUAUAGUUAUCAAAGUCGAUGGUCAAUAGGUUAGAAUGGGUUAAA